ACACCUCAACUCUCAUGGUCCGCCAUGACGAGCUUGGACUCUGGGGGUCUUGCCGGACCAGCGUCGGCUCCCCUAAAAUGGAUCAGCUUGCCAGUGUUUGGUGGCGUCACAGGUGUGAUAACUAUCUACGCGUGUGGUUCCCCGCCAUGUAACCUUCAGCGAUGGAGGUUCGCUGGAGCUCACAGAUGUCUCUCCUCGUGAGGACAGCUUUUUGAAC
rnacentral:misc_RNA from 1 species